CCUACGGGAGGCAGCAGUGAGGAAUAUUGGUCAAUGGGCGAGAGCCUGAACCAGCCAAGUCGCGUGAGGGAGUACUGCCCUAUGGGUUGUAAACCUCUUUUGUCGGGGAGCAAAAGCCGGACGUGUCCGGCUGUGAGAGUACCCGAAGAAAAAGCAUCGGCUAACUCCGUGCCAGCCGCCGCGGUAAUACGGAGGAUGCGAGCGUUAUCCGGGUUUAUUGGGUUUAAAGGGUGCGUAGGCGGUUUGAUAAGUUAGAGGUGAAAUACCGGUGCGCAACACCGGAACUGCAGCUAAUACUGUUGGACUAGAGAGUAGUUGCGGUAGGCGGAAUGUGUGGGGUAGCGGUGAAAUGCUUAGAGAUCAUACAGAACACCGAUUGCGAAGGCAGCUUACCAGACUAUAACUGACGUUGAGGCACGAAAGCGUGGGUAGCAAACAGGAUUAGAUACCCUUGUAGUC
rnacentral:rRNA from 1 species